GACAGAGGAUGCAAGCGUUAUCCGGAAUGAUUGGGCGUAAAGCGUCUGUAGGUGGCUUUUUAAGUCCGCCGUCAAAUCCCAGGGCUCAACCCUGGACAGGCGGUGGAAACUACCAAGCUGGAGUACGGUAGGGGCAGGAGGGAAUUUCCGGUUGGGAGCGGUGAAAUGACGCAGAGUAUCAGGAGGAACACCGGUGGCGAAGGCGGGUCUCUGGGCCGUAACUGACGCUGAGGAGCGAAAGCAUGGGGAGCGAACAGG
rnacentral:rRNA from 1 species